CCUACGGGAGGCAGCAGUAGGGAAUCUUCCGCAAUGGACGAAAGUCUGACGGAGCAACGCCGCGUGAGUGAUGAAGGUUUUCGGAUCGUAAAGCUCUGUUGUUAGGGAAGAACAAGUGCGAGAGUAACUGCUCGCACCUUGACGGUACCUAACCAGAAAGCCACGGCUAACUACGUGCCAGCAGCCGCGGUAAUACGUAGGUGGCAAGCGUUGUCCGGAAUUAUUGGGCGUAAAGGGCUCGCAGGCGGUUUCUUAAGUCUGAUGUGAAAGCCCCCGGCUCAACCGGGGAGGGUCAUUGGAAACUGGGAAACUUGAGUGCAGAAGAGGAGAGUGGAAUUCCACGUGUAGCGGUGAAAUGCGUAGAGAUGUGGAGGAACACCAGUGGCGAAGGCGACUCUCUGGUCUGUAACUGACGCUGAGGAGCGAAAGCGUGGGGAGCGAACAGGAUUAGAUACCCUGGUAGUCCACGCCGUAAACGAUGAGUGCUAAGUGUUAGGGGGUUUCCGCCCCUUAGUGCUGCAGCUAACGCAUUAAGCACUCCGCCUGGGGAGUACGGCCGCAAGGCUGAAACUCAAAGGAAUU
rnacentral:rRNA from 1 species